AACGAACGCUGGCGGCAGGCCUAACACAUGCAAGUCGAGCGGACCUUUCGGGGUCAGCGGCGGACGGGUGAGUAACGCGUGGGAAUAUGCCCUUCUCUACGGACUAGUCCUGGGACACUGAGGGUAAUACCGUAUACGCCCUUUGGGGGAAAGAUUUAUCGGGGAAGGAUUAGCCCGCGUUGGAUUAGGUAGUUGGUGGGGUAAUAGCCUACCAAGCCGCCGAUCCAUAGCUGGUUUGAGAGGAUGAUCAGCCACACUGGGACUGAGACGCGGCCCAGAAUCCUACGGGAGGCAGCAGUGGGGAAUCUUAGACAAUGGGGGCAACCCUGAUCGAGCCAGGCCGGGUGAGUGAUGAAGGCCGUAGGGUUGUAAAGCUCUUUCAGCUGGGAAGAUAAUGACGGUACCAGCAGAAGAAGCCCCGGCUAACUCCGUG
rnacentral:rRNA from 1 species